rnacentral:rRNA from 1 species
GACGAACGCUGGCGGCGUGCUUAACACAUGCAAGUCGAACGGAAAGGCCCUGCUUUUGUGGGGUGCUCGAGUGGCGAACGGGUGAGUAACACGUGAGUAACCUGCCCUUGACUUUGGGAUAACUUCAGGAAACUGGGGCUAAUACCGGAUAGGAUCUCCUGCUGCAUGGUGGGGGUUGGAAAGUUCCGGCGGUUGGGGAUGGACUCGCGGCUUAUCAGCUUGUUGGUGGGGUAGUGGCUUACCAAGGCUGUGACGGGUAGCCGGCCUGAGAGGGUGGCCGGCCACAUUGGGACUGAGAUACGGACCAGACUCCUACAGGAGGCAACAGUGGGGAAUAUUACACAAUGGGCGGAAGCCUGAUGCAGCAACGCCGCGUGCGGGAUGACGGCCUUCGGGUUGUAAACCGCUUUCGCCUGUGACGAAGCGUGAGUGACGGUAAUGAGUAAAGAAGCACCGGCUAACUACGUG